rnacentral:rRNA from 1 species
UACGGAGGGUGCAAGCGUUCAUCGGACUUACUGGGCGUAAAGCGUGCGCAGGCGGUUUGUUAAGUCUGCUGUGAAAUCCCCGAGCUCAACUUGGGAAUUGCAGUGGAUACUGGCAGGCUGGAGUAUGGGAGAGGAAGGUGGAAUUCCCGGUGUAGCAGUGAAAUGCGUAGAGAUCGGGAGGAACACCAGUGGCGAAGGCGGCCUUCUGGACCAAUACUGACGCUCAUGCACGAAAGCGUGGGGAGCAAACAGG